UACGUAGGGGGCAAGCGUUAUCCGGAUUCACUGGGUGUAAAGGGAGCGUAGACGGCGACGCAAGUCUGGAGUGAAAGCCCGGGGCCCAACCCCGGGACUGCUCUGGAAACUGCGUCGCUGGAGUACGGGAGGGGCAGGCGGAAUUCCUGGUGUAGCGGUGAAAUGCGUAGAUAUUAGGAGGAACAUCAGUGGCGAAGGCGACUUUCUGGACUGUAACUGACGCUGAGGCACGAAAGUGUGGGGAGCAAACAGG
rnacentral:rRNA from 1 species